GUUAAGGAUAGUAAUGGGCAUUUGAGGCAAUAAAUAUGCAUUGUGUGUGUUAAAAUGUUGAAGGAAAAUAGAGAUCUUUAACAAUGUGUUUAGAACUGUGCUAUAGUUACUCUAUUUAUUGUGUUAAUCUUGCACAGAGAACUGUAUUUCAACAUUCCUUCUUUUCAUUUACAGAAAACUUUAAACCAUUUGUAUGCUAUAACAUCUCAGUGUAUCCUCUCUAUGGAAAUGAAGUAGCAGCUCCAUAUUCCAUACAAACUUACAUUCAACAGAAAAAGCCAUCAGAAGGACCUGUGGCUGACACAGGCAUUCCAGGCAAAAAAUGAAGUUACAAUAAAAUGGAAGGAGAUUUCAAAGGAUAAAAGAAAUGGAUUUAUCAGUAACUAUACAAUAUUUUAUAAACCUGAAGAUGGAAAAGAAUUGUAUGAAACAGUGAACUCUGAUGUUCUGCAAUACAGACUGAAGUCCUUACAGGCUAAUACACAAUAUACUGUCUAUAUCAUGGUAAGCAAUGAAGCUGGUGGAACCAGUGGAGAGCCAAAAACCUUCAAGACUUUGAAAUUCAAUCAGGAAGAUGUUAUUUUCAUUGCUCUGCCUGUUGGACUAAGCAUGUUGGUUCUGCUAGGCCUUUGGAUAGCAUACAUUUUGAAAAAACAUGCGUUUAAAAAGGCUUGCUGGCCUGAUAUACCCAAUCCUGCAGAGAGCAUUGCAGUUGAAUGGCCUCUUGAUGCAUCUAUGAAUAAUUCAUUUUUGAAGGGGGUAACAACUGAGGCUAAAACCAUAGACUUUGAAGACAUAAGCGUUUUGGAACACUGUUUUCCUGAAGACAGCCAGGAAGGAUCACUACUAAUGAACUGUGAAAACCAUGUUUCUGCAUGUACUGAUAUUAAUACAAAAGGCAUGGUUAAGAGAGAUAAGAAGAUACUAUAUAAUAAAGAAAAUGAAGUUGAUAAAUGUUUUUCACCAUCCAUGCCUUAUGUAAUUACUGAUCAAGAUAUCAGAAGUCAAAUGCAUUCAGCCUUGAUACCAGUGAAGGAAAUCCAAUGCAUAGAAAAGCUGGAAGAUGGUGUAUGUGGAUCUCCUCAACAGACCUCUAUUAAAAAUGAAGAAAAUGAUCAUGAAGUUUUAAAGCUGGAAGAUUUCAGCGAAAAAGUACUGUUCAAUCCAUACCUUAAAAAUUCUGUUAAAACUAGAGAAUUUCUUAGCUCUGACAACUUACCAGAGCAGAGUAAGAAUGAACCCAAAACCCAGUCAACUGUCUUACCUCCUUUUCACCAAAAUGUCCCAGGACAGUCCUAUGUAACAGUGGAUGUGUUUGGGCUGGCCACAGCUCAUUAGCAUGAAGAAACUUUCCUUUGUAAAUUCCUCUUAUGACAUACAUUGGGCACUGCUACUUGCAUGUGUUUGUGUAUUCUAACUUGUCUGGUCUCAGUUAAUUUGAGUGAAAACAACUUCUUCCCUUGGACAGCUGUUAAGUAAUUUUUUGCCUUGUGUUUAUACCCAUGAAGGUUCAGGUUUUGGUAUGGAGAGGGUUUUGUUUGUUUAAUUUGGUUGUUUUUUAUCAGAUAACUAUGCCAGUCAAGAGGCAAAGGAAGUACCUUUUCUUAUUUCUUCUUAGUUCUCCCAUAUGGGUUUGCUAAAACAAACUCAUCUUCGCUGUGGGAGCAUCUUGACAGUGCAAGCAGCUCACUGAUUUCCAGUUCUCAUGGCUGAGCUCUGCUAGGGAGACGUGGACUGACUUGAACAGAGCCAGUUCUUGAACAGAGCCAAAUUUUUCCUGAAGUUACACAGGGUAGAACUACUUUCCUGUUCUUAUUUCCCUCAAUUGUUUUAUAUUUUGUUGAAUGGUAGAUUUUAGUAAUUGCUUUUGUGUAUCCUGACUCCUGAAUUGGUGGUUUGGCUCAUAGUUUCUCCUCUUUAAUGAGAGGAUAAUUGUUCUGUAUAUGCUGUUGACGUAUGUGCAUUUUGGAAAAAGUAGUGUUAUGCUGGCUUUGUUUCUUCCUUCCCUUUCUUGUGUUGCAUUUUGUGCUGCUUUUGUCUCUCCUGUUGUUUCCUGCCUUUUAAAACUCUGUUUACUGCAGGGUAUCUUCUUAUCUUUUUGUCCUUUCACCUCUAAUUUCUCCCAGAUUAAAACUGUUUCACGGUUGAGGUUUUGAUAGUUUGAAUUGAAAAAAUUCAACUAAAUAGAGCAUCUUGUGCUGGGAUAAGCACUGGGCUUAUACCUAGGAAAUUAUUUUUCUGGGAGAUAUUGAAGAAACACUACCUCUACAAAAUAUCCCCAGAUAUCCUCUGAUUUAGGAUUAGAGAUUUCUACAUGAAGGCUGUAAGUCUGUCAUUUGUUUUAUGAUUUUGAUAAGUCAUAAUCCUUCUCAUAGUUUCCACUCUAUACUGCAGCAAUUAAGCAGGAAACUCUCCAUCCCACUAUUUAAUUUUUUUUUUAAGCAGGAAAGAGGCUAUUGCUGUAAAAUUCUUAUAAAAAUAUUUACUGUGUUAAAUGACAGGGUAUUUUUAAAAAAAGAGAUGGAGAGUCAUCUCUAAGUAAAAUGUGGCAAAAGGGGAUGUUCAGCAUGACAUGUGUGACAUAUAACCAUUUUAAGACUUCAUUUUCACAGUAUUUAAAGGCUUGAUGUCACCAGUCUUAUUUGCACAUAAUACUUCUUUAGGGGUGAGAAAAAUACAGGAGUCAUGGGGAUAGAAAAAGGAAAGACAAAUGUGAAUAGUAAUAGAAAGCCUUUUCUUUCUGCACAAGAAAAAGAGUGGGAGAAUGGAAAGACAUGUUGUCCUGCAUGAAUGAGCAGGCUGAGCCUUAUCCUGGAUGAAUUGGCUAUUACUUGCACUGUGUUGGGAAAGACAGGGUGAAGUUUGCAUUUAGGCUUUUCAUCUGUAGUUUGGAAGCUGAUUUUACAUGUAUCAUUAUUUGUUUAGUUUCCAAGGAAGGAUGAGAAAACAAUAACUGCAAAUGUUCGUUGUACAGCCACCCUGAUUUCCACUCCCUAUGCCUCAAGUUUGUUGGAUCACUUCUUCAACCACAGUGCUAUAAGCCAACAUGUAUAUAUGUAAGCUUGUUCUUAAAAGCCUUUGCUUACUUGGAUAAGUCAUGCUCUGAAAAGCGUGUGGGACGUGGCGUUGAUUGGGUCAAUGCUCCUGCUGUUUCACUCACUUCCAGACUUUUCACUCAUAACUACACUGCCAUUUCCUAGGGUUCAGAAAUCACUAACUCAGUCACAGCAGGCUCCCCCUCUUAAAUAUCAGUAUUUGUUUUAAUAUCACGAGGUUUAAAAAUAAAGAGAGAUAUUUUGAGGGCCGUGUAGGAAUUGCAUAGCAGCCAUAUGGAAACAGCAUACUCUGAGUUGUAUGAUUGAGUCAGGUAAAAGAUAAUGCAACUUUUAAGGGAAUCAUUUGAAAGGAGAGGUUCUUACUGGGUGCUUACAGUGAGAGUAGGAUCUCCCUGUAACACCUCUUAGCUUCUAUUACUCUAUUACUGCAGAGUAAGUAAUAAUCUGCAGAGUAAGUAAUAAUUGCUUCUCCAUCCCAUUUUAUUUCCUUCUCUUUUGCUGUUCUGCAUUUCUCUUCUCACUUCUCAUUUCCUUGCCUGUUGUUUUCUCUGGAAAAGAGUAAUGUAAUGAAUGGUCUUAGUUUAUCUUGGAAAUGAGGGCUGCCUUUUGCCUGUACUUUGGAACACCAGCUUCUUGGACUUGGUUUGUUUUGCAUUCAGUUGUAUCGUUUCUUUACAAUUUGUCUUUCAAAUUAAUGCUGUGAACCAUGAGGAAAUAAAACUGAGAAUACAUGGAAAAGUUUUCAUCCAUUUAUACUAAAUACAACAUUUAGACAUCUUAGAUUUUCAUAUUCAUUUAGAAAUGUGAUUG
ensembl:lncRNA